UACGUAGGGACCGAGCGUUGUCCGGAAUCACUGGGCUUAAAGCGUGUGUAGGCGGGCCGUUAAGUGUCUUGUGAAAUCCCCCGGCUCAACCGGGGAAUUGCUGGGCAUACUGGCGGUCUUGAGCGAUCUAGGGGCAGAUGGAACAAGUGGUGGAGCGGUGAAAUGCGUAGAUAUCAAGUGGAACACCAGUGGCGAAGGCGAGUCUCUGGACAUUUCCUGACGCUGAGGCACGAAAGCCAGGGGAGCAAACGGG
rnacentral:rRNA from 1 species